CCUACGGGAGGCAGCAGUGAGGAAUAUUGGUCAAUGGGCGCGAGCCUGAACCAGCCAAGUCGCGUGAGGGAUGAAGGUUCUAUGGAUCGUAAACCUCUUUUAUAAGGGAAUAAAGUGUGGGACGUGUCCUAUUUUGUAUGUACCUGAUGAAUCAGGAUCGGCUAACUCCGUGCCAGCAGCCGCGGUAAUACGGAGGAUCCGAGCGUUAUCCGGAUUUAUUGGGUUUAAAGGGUGCGUAGGCGGCCUUUUAAGUCAGCGGUGAAAGUCUGUGGCUCAACCAUAGAAUUGCCGUUGAAACUGGUGGGCUUGAGUAUGUGAGAGGCAGGCGGAAUGCGUGGUGUAGCGGUGAAAUGCUUAGAUAUCACGCAGAACCCCGAUUGCGAAGGCAGCCUGCCAGGCCAUAACUGACGCUGAUGCACGAAAGCGUGGGGAUCAAACAGGAUUAGAUACCCUUGUAGUC
rnacentral:rRNA from 1 species